rnacentral:lncRNA from 1 species
GUGGGUAUCAAUUUUCGUGGAUGGAGAAAAAAAGACGUUUCGUGGUAUACGUAAAUUCGUGGAUCGCUGAUUACAAAAAAAAAUCAGAUACGUAAUUCGUGGAAUUCUUUUUGAUUUACGAGAUCAUAUAACCUCCUUGGUUUGAUCAAUAAUAAAACAAACAAAAAAGAAGGAAUUCAUUGAAAAAGUUUUGAAUUGUCAAAAUCCUCGCUUGGUCAUUCUAGGUUAAAGUGUUCAUUGAUAACUGCUAUUACAAUAAUGGACAGAGACAACUAAUUAUUUGUCUGUUUUACAAUUUAUAAAUUCUUGUCGGAAUUCUAUAAGGCAUUCAAAACUUUAUGAUUGAAAGCUCAUUUCCCUAAUCACGAUAUAAUAAACAGUCAUGUAAGUAUAAGGUGUGAAAAUAAAUGUUCCUGUCAUAAACAAUAUUACCUACGGGCAAUAUCCCCGUACGUAAUCCUAUUGAUUUUAAAUCCCUAGUAAACCAAACUAUGACACGGUAAUUAAUAAUUUACAGUUAUUUUCCGUGAACAGUGUUAAUCAAUUUUAGAAAGUAAAUUAUCACUGAUAUUCGAU